rnacentral:rRNA from 1 species
AUUGAACGCUGGCGGCAGGCCUAACACAUGCAAGUCGAGCGGAUGAAGAGAGCUUGCUCUCUGAUUUAGCGGCGGACGGGUGAGUAAUGCCUAGGAAUCUGCCUGGUAGUGGGGGAUAACGUUCCGAAAGGAACGCUAAUACCGCGUACGUCCUACGGGAGAAAGCAGGGGACCUUCGGGCCUUGCGCUAUCAGAUGAGCCUAGGUCGAAUUAGCUAGUUGGUGAGGUAAUGGCUCACCAAGGCGAUGAUCCGUAACUGGUCUGAGAGGAUGAUCAGUCACACUGGAACUGAGACACGGUCCAGACUCCUACGGGAGGCAGCAGUGGGGAAUAUUGGACAAUGGGCGAAAGCCUGAUCCAGCCAUGCCGCGUGUGUGAAGAAGGUCUUCGGAUUGUAAAGCACUUUAAGUUGGGAGGAAGGGCAGUAAGUUAAUACCUUGCUGUUUUGACGUUACCGACAGAAUAAGCACCGGCUAACUUCGUGCCAGCAGCCGCGGUAACAC